rnacentral:rRNA from 1 species
AACGCGAAGAACCUUACCUGCCCUUGACAUGUCUGGAAGUCUGCAGAGAUGCAGACGUGCCUUCGGGAACCAGAACACAGGUGCUGCAUGGCUGUCGUCAGCUCGUGUCGUGAGAUGUUGGGUUAAGUCCCGUAACGAGCGCAACCCUUGUCUUUAGUUACCAGCACGUAAUGGUGGGAACUCUAAAGAGACUGCCGGUGACAAACCGGAGGAAGGUGGGGAUGACGUCAAGUCCUCAUGGCCCUUAUGGGCAGGGCUACACACGUGCUACAAUGGUCGGUACAGAGAGUUGCCAACCCGCGAGGGGGAGCUAAUCUCACAAAACCGAUCUCAGUCCGGAUUGAGGUCUGCAACUCGACCCCAUGAAGCUGGAAUCGCUAGUAAUCGUGGAUCAGAACGCCACGGUGAAUACGUUCCCGGGCCUUGUA